UACCGAGGGGGCAAGCGUUGUUCGGAAUUACUGGGCGUAAAGGGCGCGUAGGCGGCCCGCUAAGUCGAACGUGAAAUCCCCGAGCUCAACUCGGGAACUGCGUCCGAUACUGGUGGGCUUGAAUCCGGGAGAGGGAUGCGGAAUUCCAGGUGUAGCGGUGAAAUGCGUAGAUAUCUGGAGGAACACCGGUGGCGAAGGCGGCAUCCUGGACCGGCAUUGACGCUGAGGCGCGAAAGCUAGGGGAGCAAACGGG
rnacentral:rRNA from 1 species